rnacentral:rRNA from 1 species
CCUACGGGAGGCAGCAGUAGGGAAUAUUGCUCAAUGGGGGAAACCCUGAAGCAGCAACGCCGCGUGAAGGAUGAAGGUUUUCGGAUUGUAAACUCCUUUUGUUAGAGAAGAUAAUGACGGUAUCCAACGAAUUAGCACCGGCUAAAUCCGUGCCAGCAGCCGCAGUAAUACGGAGGGUGCAAGCGUUACUCGGAAUCACUGGGCGUAAAGAGCGCGUAGGCGGGAUAGUAAGUCAGAUGUGAAAUCCUAUGGCUUAACCAUAGAACUGCAUUUGAAACUGGUAUUCUUGAGUAUGGGAGAGGUAGGUGGAAUUCGUGGUGUAGGGGUAAAAUCCGUAGAGAUCAAGAGGAAUACUCAUUGCGAAGGCGACCUGCUAGAACAUAACUGACGCUGAUGCGCGAAAGCGUGGGGAGCAAACAGGAUUAGAUACCCGUGUAGUC